rnacentral:rRNA from 1 species
UUGGAGGGCAAGUCUGGUGCCAGCAGCCGCGGUAAUUCCAGCUCCAAUAGCGUAUAUUAAAGUUGUUGCAGUUAAAAAGCUCGUAGUUGAAUUUCGGGAUUAGUACGUUGGUCGUGCCUUCGGUACGUACUGGUGUUACUGAUUCCUACCUUCUGACGAACCAUCAUGUCAUUAAUUUGGUGUGGUGGGGAAUCAGGACUGUUACUUUGAAAAAAUUAGAGUGUUUAAAGCAGGCUCGCGCUCGAAUACAUUAGCAUGGAAUAAUGAAAUAGGACGUUGACCCUAUUUUGUUGGUUUCUAGGAUUGACGUAAUGAUUAAUAGGGAUAGUUGGGGGCAUUAGUAUUCAAUUGUCAGAGGUGAAAUUCUUGGAUUUAUUGAAGACUGACUACUGCGAAAGCAUUUGCCAAGGAUGUUUUCAUUAAUCAAGAACGAAAGUUAGGGGAUCGAAGACGAUCAGAUACCGUCGUAGUCUUAACCAUAAACUAUGCCGACUAGGGAUCGGAUGAUGUUAUUUUUAAUGACUCAUUCGGCGCCUUACGGGAAAC